rnacentral:rRNA from 1 species
AUCAGGUAGGGAUACC